rnacentral:rRNA from 1 species
UGGGGAAUAUUGCACAAUGGGCGCAAGCCUGAUGCAGCAACGCCGCGUGAACGAUGAAGGUCUUCGGAUCGUAAAGUUCUGUUGCAGGGGAAGAUAAUGACGGUACCCUGUGAGGAAGCCCCGGCUAACUACGUGCCAGCAGCCGCGGUAAUACGUAGGGGGCUAGCGUUAUCCGGAUUUACUGGGCGUAAAGGGUGCGUAGGUGGUCUUUCAAGUCGGUGGUUAAAGGCUACGGCUCAACCGUAGUUAGCCUCCGAAACUCGAAGACUUGAGUGCAGGAGAGGAAAGUGGAAUUCCCAGUGUAGCGGUGAAAUGCGUAGAUAUUGGGAGGAACACCAGUAGCGAAGGCGGCUUUCUGGACUGCAACUGACACUGAGGCACGAAAGCGUGGGUAGCAAACAGG